rnacentral:lncRNA from 13 species
GUAAAAUCAGAACAAUAAUUUGGCCUGGAGGUUUAGUGAUGAAGAAGAGCUCAUGCCUGAUAGCCUCAAGUUUCUUUGUUUUUGUUUUGUUUGCUUUUUUUUUUUUUUUUAAGUAGUAGACCAUCUGGAUACAGACAUUUUUUAAUGAAUUCAAAGUGCCCUCAAGGGUUAGUCAAAGCUGUAUUUACAUGGCAGACCUCAACAGGGCUAACUCCACUGAGAGAAAGUAACCCUUAAAUAUAAUUUUUCUCCAUGUCCAAAACAAAUUAUGUUGUUGCUACAAUAAGUUAAAUUCUACCAUUGCUACAAACGUCAAAAACAUUUGACGUUUGAGAAAGUUCAUUCAGCCUGAGCUUAAAUAAUCCUCUCGGAGAAAAAGGAAGACGGUGAAAGACAAUACAGAAUCAGGGGUUGAAGGAUACAACAAACUUCAGCCCAGAAGUCAAAUUCUCCUGUUUCUCUAGAACCCAUAGGCACUGCAUGCACCAGCUAGCAUUAUGAGGUGGAUAGGGCCUCCACCCCGUGCCCUGCUCCACAGCAGCACCUCCCCUCCAGCUGGCAGCUGAGCCUUGUUGCUGCACAGGACCAGCACUCCUUGAUACCUGAAAAUUGAGGACUUCACCGUCAGCACUGAGUGGCUGAAUCUCAGUCCAAGUGUCACCUCACCACCAGGCCCCAGCCCCUGGAAUCAGUUCCUCUUCCUCCAGAGAAUUUCUCCACUGAUCUACAACUGCAUGUAAAGUUUGCCCACCACAAAGGGACUGCCCAUUCCUUGCAAACAUAGCGGGAAACAGCAGGAGUUUUCUCUCUUAAGACGUUUGCUGAAGACAAAUACAGGGAAAAAGCCAGGAUUAAAGUGGGACUGCCGAGCCAGGAAGAUGAUGGAAAACACAGGACAUCACACAGAAAUGAUGAAAGAUCUAAGACAGUUCACAGCCUCUCCUAUGACCUACAAAAGUGAUUUCUCCCAUUGCCCGGGUCAACCUUCUCCUUCCUCCUUGCUUUCAAUCAGAAGGAAGUGUGUGCAGCUAGAAAUGGGACAGGUCAACCAACAUUGUUAUGGAAUGGAGUUGGUGGAGACACAGUGCGUAGGAGGAAGAACACUGAGUUUGGGAAUAUGAAGUCAAGUCUGGGAGCUGCAGAGGAGGGUCCUCCAGAGCAGCCUCGAGUUUAUGGUGGAAACAAGAGGAGAAAAGAAAGGAGAGAGAGUUUUAGUAAGUGCUGCUCGGGUGACACAGAUCACUAUCCAUCACUGGCUGAGAGAUGCAAAUAAAAAUUUGUUACUUUGAAACA